UGGAUUUUUUAGUUUCUAUUUCUCAUCUUAGUGCCAUUUACAUAAUUGUCCUUUCUACUUUUGCCUUGUAGAAAGGCUUGUAAAGUGUCACUAGGGCAGAUUAGCCAUGUCAAAUUUCAGAGUGUUUUUUCAGAUGUUCUGUGAAUUAAACUUGUUUCCUAUCUUUUUUUUUAUUGGAAGGCACCACAGCUACAAACUUCCAUCUUUGAUUUUCAUCAGCUUCCCACCGACACCCCCAGUCAUCUCCAGCAUUCUGUAAUGAUGACAGAGUCAGAGAAGAAUUGGCAAAGAAGUGUUUUCUCCAGAGCCCACGUCAUCAGAAAAUUCAUGGUGAUGAGGCUGGGCCAAGUCAAGCCAGGAGGUCAUCCCACAAGUCAGGGGCUAAGUCCAGGCUAUUUCGUAUCCAAAUGGACCUGUGAAGACUGCUGAGAAGCUGGCUAUGACCAGGAGAAGUCCUGAGUCCAUACCUGCGAGAUUCCUACAGAUUGAAGGAGAGAAUGUCUGUGAUAUUACAGUACUUUCCACUGGCAUGGCUGGAAGAGAGUUUCUAUCUACAGUGCACAUCCCUUCACUAGAACCAGGACAUUGAAGAAACCAUUAGGAAAAUGGAGAAGUAAAGGUCACAGUAAUCUUUUCUGGAAUGAAGAAUGAAGAACCAAUUUUAUUCAGAGGUCAGAUUCAUGCCAAGAACUCUGAAGCACUCACACUAUGCUAUUGUUGAAGCAUGUGCAAAGUGUCACUGAAAUGCAAUGUUUGUGAAACACGACGUUGCUCAACACUGCUCAGAAGAUGGAAAUGUGUGAGACAACUUCUUUCUUUCCACGCAUGGCUUGUGAAUUACAAGAGUACAAGAUUCCCAUGUCACAGAGCAAUUUUCCAC
ensembl:lncRNA